rnacentral:rRNA from 1 species
UACGUAGGGCGCAAGCGUUAUCCGGAAUUAUUGGGCGUAAAGAGCUCGUAGGCGGUUUGUCGCGUCUGCCGUGAAAAGUCCGGGGGCUCAACUCCGGAUCUGCGGUGGGGUACGGGGCAGACUCGAGUUCUGGAGAGGGUCGUGGAAUUCCCGGUGUAGCGGUGAAAUGCGUAGAGAUCGGGAGGAACACCAGAGGCGAAGGCGGCGACCUGGACAGAUACUGACACUCAACUGCGAAAGCGUGGGGAGCAAACAGG